CGCGCAGGCGGUCAUUUAAGUUUGGUGUUUAAGCCCGGGGCUCAACCCCGGAUCGCACUGAAAACUGGGUGACUUGAGUGCGGGAGAGGAAAGUGGAAUUCCACGUGUAGCGGUGAAAUGCGUAGAGAUGUGGAGGAACACCAGUGGCGAAGGCGACUUUCUGGACCGUAACUGACGCUGAGGCGCGAAAGCGUGGGGAGCAAACA
rnacentral:rRNA from 1 species